AGAUUGAACGCUGGCGGCAUGCUUUACACAUGCAAGUCGAGCGGCAGCGCGGGGCUCAGGCAACUGCGUCCUGGCGGCGAGCGGCGAACGGGUGAGGAAUACGAUCGGAACGUACCCCGGAGUGGGGGAUAACGCCGCGAAAGCGGCGCUAAUACCGCAUAUGCUCUGUGGAGGAAAGUGGGGGAUUCGCAAGGACCUCACGCUCUGGGCGCGGCCGAUGUCCGAUUAGCUAGUUGGUGAGGUAAUGGCUCGACCAAGGCGACGAUCGGUAGCUGGUCUGAGAGGAUGAUCAGCCACACUGGGACUGAGACACGGCCCAGACUCCGACGGGAGGCCAGCAGGUGGGGUAAGUUUGGACGAAGUGGGACACCCGUGUACUCCGAGCCAUCGCCGCGUGGACGGAAGAACGG
rnacentral:rRNA from 1 species